AUGGCAUGCAGGGGCGUGCCAGCCUCUGCACAGCCUGAGCCCCAGGCAGGCCGAACUCACAGCCACAGCCCUGGCUUCGGGGUGGGGUCUCCAGGGAUACACCUGCAGGGCUUCUCGCCCAGUCUGCCUCUCCCCGCCCUGGCAGUGCCACAUUUCUGGACCAACGGGGCCCUCUGCCGGCCAGGCCGCUGCGCGCAGCGCCUGGUCCACGGGAGAGAGUACAGCGAGGGUCCCCAGAGCUCGCCUGGCAGGACAUCCCAGAUCUGGGAGCGAGGAACCAGGAAGGGCAGGAAAGAACGAUGGGGAGAGACGAGCCAAAACCACGAAAACUGCUGCUGCGGAGAAGCGCGCGGGGCAGCGACCCGGGAGGCGGCUGGAGGCAGCAUUCACAGCCCGCCCGGGCCCGGCGCACCAGAGAGGUCCCACAGACGCGCUCCCGCGGGUCGCGGCCCGAGCGAACGUCAGAAGCAAAGCGCAAGAAAAAUAAAAUUCCUCCAGCCUGGAGUUUUUCCCCCUUUGGGGCUCAGUGCAAGGAACAUCUGGAUUUUCUGCAGGGAGCCUCGCGCACGGCCGCGGGCGCGGCCACAGGGACUACGGCUCCGGGGUCACGAAGGACCGGGGCCUCACGCCAGCCAGCCGGGCACGCCGGCCCCUCUGCGUGAGCCGUGCCACAGGGACACCGACUCCCGAACCCAGCGACGCGGGCGCCGCAAACAAACAGCUCCAGGCAACCCGGCGCCCCUCGCCAGCCCGGGCACCGCGCCCCGCGCACCU
rnacentral:lncRNA from 1 species